UAAAUGGAAGGUUCUGUAACCAUGUAUUUCUGGAUCCAGAAAUGAAUUCUUAUGUGUAAGCGCUGUAUUUUUGUGACACCACAUUGUGUGAAGUGCACCUCUUACAAACUUUAACAAUGGUAUGACUUAGUGUUAUAAAACUCAUAAACAGGCGAGUGACGACAGUCAAACUCCUAGAACUCCUGAGAGGUGCUUCUCAGAAUUCCAGAUGCCCGAAGCUCCCCGACAGACAGUCAGCACCUGCUUCCCUCCCUGCCUUGGGCCCUGAGCUUUCGGGUGCUGGCCUUCCAUCUCCCACAAUCCUAGAUACCAUCCCCUGCCAUGCCCUCCUAGGAACAAUGCGAAAUGUUACUUAAAGGUUUCUGGAAUGUAGCUUUUUGACUUAGUGAGCCUGACCUUCUUCCAAAUCGGCCUGGAUUUGCAGAGGAUCACAAUUUAACUUACAACAAAAAUUUUAAAAGCACAGAAAUACAGAUAUGCCAGAUUAAAAGGAAGCCCGGGAUCUGGGCACAGGCCAUGGCCUCUCUUUGCAGGAAUAAAAGGAUCUGUGUUAUUUAUUGAAGUUUUCUGAGCUGGUUUUCCAUGUUUUGUUUGUCGUGUCCUUGAGGAACUGUGUUUGGAUCCUGGCUUUGUUUUGCGACCUCUGUUUUAUGGUUUCUGACUUUUAUCAGUGUCUGUGUAUGCAGUGUGUUUAUUUUGACAGUACCCUGUGGGACCUGGGGUACAGACUCAGUAUGUGCUGGUACUACAAGGGAUAACCACUGCCACCUUGUCUAUGAAUUGCAAUUCCCUCUAGCCCAGAGGGUCAAGCUUCUUUGACCUGGUUUGAAAAGGCGUUUAUAUAAAAUUUUAACAUUCUUACAUACUCCCACGAAGAAGGAGUUCCUUUAGUUUCUACUGGGUAGACUAUUCUUUAGCAAGUGUUCUGUGGUUUUGUGUCAUUCUGUAAGAUUUGUGCCUGGUGGGUCCAGAGAUGUUUUUGGGAUGGUGGGGGGAGAUGUGUGUGACUAUUUAUCACAUCCUUGGGACUUGUGGGCUUGUUCCACACUGUCUUGCUUUCCAGGUAGCUGGUUGAGAUUUAAGAUUUGGCUUAUUCUGCUCAGCUCCUUGGCCCCUUCCAGACCCUGACCAUUAACUCUGUAACGGUCCCCAUGCCUGUCUCCACUGGGUCUGUUCCUAGGGCUCCUGCAGGCCUCUCCCAAAGACACACUGAGCCUCUUUUCAUUUUAAAGGUUUUGCUUAUAAUCACUUCUGGAGGAUCCCAAAAGGUACACCUGAUUUUUUUUUGGAGAUUUUGGUGUGAAAACAUAAGCAAUACUGAAGUACAUCGAGUGAAAAGUUUCUCUCUAUAAGUUAAUUUGCUGGGCAGGAGGGUGUGCACCCUAAAAUUUUGAUAGAUACUAACAAAUACAUGAAGUUUGCCUUCCCAAGAUUUGUAGCUUUUGCACCAGCAGCCUGUGAAGGGUUCCUGCUCGGUUCCCAACCCUGGAGACAUCGUCAUAGAUGUUUACCGCGUCCAUAGGUGGAAAAAAAUAGCAUUUCAUGUGAAUUUGCAUUUCCCUGAUCACAAUGAGUUGAGUAUCUUCGUAUUCUAGGGUUUGCUUCUUUUCUGAGACAAACCACACCUCGCGGACGUCUUCCUGGCCGCUCAGGGGCAGGAAGCCCUGGGCCUCGCUGACAGCCUUCGGCCCCCGGACCGGAGGGGCCAGGACUGAGGGCCAGCGGGGCCGCGCGGGCCUCCCGCUCCCAUGUCGGCGGGGCAGGUGCAGCCCCCGCCUGCUCUCCUCCUGGACCCCAGACUCCGAGGCGGACGCCCACAAAGCUCCCCUCCUUCGCCUCCCGGCGUCUGCGCACCGCCUGGGCGCCCGGCCGAGCCCAGGCCGCGGAUGCACCUGCCUGCGGAGCCCGCUGCCCACGGCCCUCGGGUCAGCGCCCGGGGCCCGCCGGGGGGCCAGAGGGAGGGCCGCGCGGCCGAGAGCCCUUCUGACCCGCCUCGCUCCGCGGCCGCCCAGCGGACGUCCCCCGGGACGGAGCGACCGCAGAGGCAGCCGCCCGCUCGCCAUUCUGGGGCCGGAAGCCGAGCUGGAACCGCGACGCGGACCACGCGCAGCCUGCCCCGCGGGCAGAUGGCCGUGCGCAUGCGCAUGGCGGCGGGCAGCGGUUGCCAAGGUGACCGGAGCCCGGGCCGCCCCGCCCCCCGCGCCGCAGCCCUGCGGACAUGGCCGCGCCCACCGCCGGGGGUGAGGGGUCAGCUCCGGGUCGGGGUCGGCCAGGGGAGACCGGGGCCGGGGAUCAGGAGGUCCCGGGGUGAGGUGAUCCUGGGGAGCCGCCGCCGAGUGCCCGCCGGCCGGCCACGGAGGCGCGCGGACGCGGGGACGCACGGACGCGAGCCGGGCCGCAGCAUGUGGAAGCUGGGCCGCGGCCGGGUGCUGCUGGACGAGCCCCCGAGGAGGAGGACGGCCUGCGGGGGGGCCGCCGCCCGCCGCCGCCGCGCAGCUCUCUGCAUGCUGCUGUCCUGCUGUCCCUCACUUUGCUGUGAGAGCUUUGCUGCCUCCAGGAGCAGCCGAGCUUCUCUUCACAGAGCAGUGAGAAGGCGGGCCUGGGGUGCUGGCGCCGGUGUGCUGUGCUCUCAUGCUCGCUCUGGUGGUGGUGGUGCUGUCAGAAGCAGGAAGGAAGUGGAUGCACCCCAGUGCCUGUCUGGAGGAGAAGGCCGGACAGUGCCGUGUGUGAACUGCUGCUCUUUGCCACAGGGAGGGAGCUACCAGCAUGGUGCUGAGCAGAAAAUGCAAGUCCCAUACCAUGCAAGGGAACCUUGGGGCACUAGAUUCUUGGAAAAGAUAGUAUUCGUCUCACCCUGCUCCUCCUGCCUCACGGGACAAUGGAAAAGAGCCUGUGACCGUGAAGUUUGUGUUGGGAAGGAAGACAAGAUGGAAGGGAGCAGGAGGAAGAGAGGAGAGCCCUGGCAAGGAGGCCGAGUGGCCAGCAGCUGGCCUGGCUGGACCCAGAGGUCUGCAAGCCAAUGUCUGUGUGCGGACUUCAGGGGUGGUUUCAGGGUUCAUGUGACAGCCUCCCGCAUAGUUCCUAGCUCAGCCCAGGCCCCACGGACUCCCUGGUAAGGUCUAAUCCUUUGAGGGUUGUUCACUGGAAGGUGUGCACACUUCUUUCAUGAUCUCUGUACAGUUAUGCACAAGUCUGGAAUUUGAGAAUAAUCAUUUUUUUCUUUUAUUCCUAACCUAAGCCUCAUUGAAGUAUUGAUUAUCUGAUAACAUUUGUUUUUAUCAGCUUUUAUAUUCCCCUUGCUUUGAUUAAAGAGGAUAUUCAAAGGCUUUUUAGGAAGUAGAUAGCAGUAGAUGGAAUUUUCCAUUGGCUUCUGGCAACGGCUUAAGUUCAUCUAGCUGAAGUAUUUCUAGCAACAGAAUCCCCAAAUUUUGCAUUUUGGUUGGUAAAGUAAUGGUUUGUGUUUCUUCAUCGAGAUUGAUUUUUCCAGCUUUUCACAGAGGGAAAUUUUAAGCAUCUUUGUUUUAGUCCGUUCUGGCUGCUCUGACAAAAGAGCACAGCCUGGUGGCUUAAACAACCGAAAUUCAUUUCUCACAGUUCUGGUGAGGGCCCUCUUCUGGGCUGCAGACUUCUCACUGUGGCUGUGUCCUCACAUGGGGAAGGGGCGAGGGAGCUCUCUGGGGUCUCUCUUAUAAAGGCACUAAUCCCAUCCUGGGGGCUCCACCCUCAUGACCUGCUCACCUCCCUCAGGCUCCACCUCCUAACACCAUCACGUGGGGUUAGAUUUCAACGUGUGAGUUGUGGGGACACAGAGGUUCAGACCCCAGUGAACUUGAGCACUGUGAAGACUGUGUUCCUCCUCCCGACCCUCUCCCCGCUGAGCAUCACAGGAUGGCUGCAUAAUGACCUGCUAUUAAGCUGAUGAGGACUUAACAGGUGUGCAUGGAUUGGUACAGAAGAGUUAAUGCACUUAAUUGGAUUAGUCCUUUCAUACUUGGCAAACCUGUGGAACAAAAGAGUGCUUGUAUCCAGGAGGCUGCAGCCAGGCUGCUUUCCGCCUGUGGGUGCUUGUGGUACGUGGGCAGUGUGUGGGGUUUUGAUUUUAGAUUACUGAAGUAAUCCACGUGUAUUAGCUAAUAUGUUUGUUUUCAUCAGGCAUACAAGAUUAUAAGAAGGUUAUAAUUUAUAUUGGUUACCUAGGUUGAAUAUUAAGUUGUCACUUAAGAACGUUAAUUUUUAUCUUAAUGAAAUACUGUUAAAAAAUUUGGUGUGGGAAGUAAAAAUUUCCUUUUCCCCACUCUCCAGAUCCUACUCUGAGUAAUUAACACUGUUAAUAUACAAUUAAAUAGAUAUUUUAAAAGGACAUAAGGUGGAAGUUUUUCAGAAUGAGAAAUGAUUAAAAAUGCAGCUUAAAAGCUCUGAAAGAAUUUAUUAAGCUUGGGUUGUGACAUGUGCCUAAACAAAGAACACAGGUUCAUUGGUCUUAAUGAGUGUCUUGUCACUAUCUUCGAGUGCCCGUUUUUGGUGUGUUAGAAUUUCAGCAUUGCCAAGAGCUUUACAUUGACUGUUCUGAAAUAAACGGUAGAGCACAAAGAAAUCAGUUAAUUCAGAGUGUAAAUUGGCUACACUUGCAGGCAUCGACAGGUCACGUGUGGCUAAAGAGAUGCCUUGUUACUCCGGAAACUACCUGGAUAUUCAGCACAGGUGAUGGAUUAAGUGUGUGUGUGUUGAUUCCGGGUGUGUGGCGGAGCCCUGGAUCCACUGCUCUGAGCGCCUGCUCCCUGGAGAGACCUCGAUUCUUACCUCCUCUGGUAGGUGAAUCUGUUAGGGACGCUGCCCUCGCUGACUUCUUUCCGGCUUCCAGACUCUUUGAAUAAACACUUCACUGUUGCCUCCCAAAGUUAUACAAAAGAAAGAAAACUAAAGGAGAAGAGGAACCUAUCACCUAAAAUGCCAUGUCUCGAGCAUGUCAAGGGAAACCGGAGGAUGCCUGUGCAGCUGCUGGGCCUUUCUGGGCCAGUCCCCUGUGUCUUAAAGAUGUCUUUUACAGAAAUGCGGGGGAGAACAACUGGAGCACCAUGGCCGGCUGCUGGCAGCCCUAACCCACCGUGAUGGUGUUGGGAGGUGGAGACCCCGUGAUGGGAUUAGUGCCCUUGGAAGAAGCGGCACAGGAGAGCUUGCUCCCGUCUCUGCUCUCCCCUGCGAGGACGCAGAGAAGAUGGCCAUCGAUGAACCAGGAAAUGGACUCUCACCAGAAACCAGAUCUGCUGGCACCUUGAUCUCGGACUUCCUGCCUCCAGAAAUGUGAGAAAUAAAUGUUUAAGCCGCCCAUCUGUGGUACAUUUGUUAUAACAGCCCAGACUGACUGGACACAUGGUAUAAAAUUUACAGUGUGCAAGAGGGUACACAGUAAGACUCCUUUUAUUUCUAUCUGCCAGCCGCCUGGUUCUCUGCAGUUAAUUAACAGUCUUGCUCAUCCUUCUGGAGAUAAGGGUAUGCAUAUAAAACGUAUAAAUAUAGAAAAUAUACACAAAUAUAUAAAAAUAUAAAUUUACAUAAAUAUGUAAAUGUAAUCAGUAUAUAAAAUGGAUAUAUGUGUGUGUCUUUCUAUACUUACAGGUGGAGCACGUGAUAUGGACUGUUGUUGGCACCUUGCGGUCUCGAUCUUUUGGUGGUUUUAUGUUGGUCACUGUGACCCUUUCUAACCCAGCCUCCGUAUGCUUAGGCAUGGGUGUCCCACGUGCUGAGCCCCAUGCUGACGGGCAUUCAGUGUCUGCGCUCUGGGACUGCAAAGUGCGUUUCCUUGCUUAUGGCCUUUUUGGACACGAAGACACGCUUUGCUCUGAAUCACGGACAUUUCUCUUCCCUUCCAUUAGCAUGGAUUAUUUAGAGUUGACUGUCAAAUGAUUAGGAUAUUUAAAAGAAAAGAUAUAAACAUGUUGAGCAAGUGACCAAAUAAGGUACAUAACCACAGUUUAAUUGGCGGUUGAUCACAAAUAUUCUUUUUUUUUUAAAGAUUGGCACCUGAGCUAACAUCUGUUGCCAGUCUUUGUCUUUUUUCCUUCUUCUUCUCCCCAGAGCCCCCCACACAUGUUCUUUCACAUUUUAGGAACCACUGCAUGUGUCUACUACUGUCAGCAAAUGCAGUUAUAGUGCUGUGCACUCCAGAAUGAGCGCCACAUCCAUUAUCACUCCUCUUGCUCUGUGGUUAUGAGUCACUUUGACUUGUAUGUUCCCUACUGAGGAGCAUUUCCACAGAAUGUUAUUUAAGGCAAACCAUGUGAAGCAUUAGCUGUUUCUCCACUUAAUCUAGCGAGUUUUUGAAGAGUUUAUUGCUGUGUGCCUGCCAACCUGGAAAAAUUAAAACUAUCAGCUGGAUGGAUUCAAGCCACACCCGGCCCGGGGAGGCCUGCCUGGUCCCCAGCGCAGCCUCUGUUCUGGGUUUAACCUGGAAAACGUGGAGGCCCUCUGUGCUCCUGGCCUUGAUUCUCUGGUAGAGUAACUGAUGUGUGUCCCUUUUGUUGGACGGAGGGAAAGUCACAGGAACAUGGAUAAGCCAGAGUCCUCUGCUUCUCUCUUACCAACCCCGAGGGCUGGACGGCCCUGGGCCCUCAUUACCCGCAUAAUCCCAGCAGAUGUUGGGCUGCUCAUCUUUGUGUCUGCCUUUGUUUCUGCAUAUGCCUGAAGUGCAACUGUACUCUUUGAAUGGUUGUUUGAGUAAGACAGUAGGGACAGGCAUGGUUCAGGAGGAGGGGUGCCGCUCUUGGCUUUGUGCUGGCCCACUUCCUCCUUUAUACCUGGAAGGCUGGCGACUCCUCUCUCGCCCUCCUUGGAGCCUCCGAGUUUCUUAUUUUCUUGUCUGUGAGAUCAGGAGUCGGGGGACCACUUUCACCUAAGGCCUUAUCCACUCAGGGUUCUGUGCGCUGGUGAAGGCCCCAUCAGAAUUUUCCCUGUAGCCUGAUGGCUCUCGUCUGAUAAGAGGGCCUGGGAUUUGGUUUCAAAGCUUGGCCUAGAGGCCGGAACUGGGUUAUGGAGUCAGUUUUCUCUAGGAUUACUAGUUUCUUAGUAACUUUAGAGUGUUUAAACAUAAGAUUAUCGUGAGUUCUAAAGUUUAGGACAGUUAGGAAGAAAAUUAGCUUUUUUAUUACAUCAUAGUGAAACCUUAGCCUGGCCGUGGCUCUCUACAGUUUUCCUGAGACACACCAGGCUGAGCCAGUUCUUGUGCUGGACACUGGUGGGAGUGCCUGUGUCUCCUCUCUGGCUUGGAAGUGAGGCCCUACAGUAACUGCCAUCUUCACAUCUUCAGGCAGAGCAAGGAUGGGGAGGCCAAGGAGGCUUUGGGGAGGCUCCCGUAGCCCCCCGUCACCAGUCACCGCAACACUGCACAACCCGAGUGCUUUUCACCUGGAGGAGCUUCAGGACGUAUCUUAACCCCUCCUUGCAGGCAUAGUGCCCACCGUAAGCCCCUUCUACAGAAAAACCCUGGAGUUAUGGAUCUGCCGUUGAUGCGGGGUCGGUAAGCGGAGUCGUCGAAAGGAAGAUUUCUUGGACUCUCAAGAUCUGGCAGUAGUGCUCUUUUAUUUAGAGAAUAGUGUGGAAUAGCAUGGGGACAGGACCC